GUCUUGGAGAAAACUGAUUCAUCCGACAGCGAAUCCAGCAGUGAUGUAGGCUCAGAGGAAGAGUAUCAUCCCAAUACGCCAGCAUCAUCCAGUGAGGAGGAAUGGGAAAGCCCUGAAAAACUUUCAAGUCAGAAAAAUGGCAAGUACACCAUUAAUAAAGGCAAGAACCCCCAAAAGUAUCAGAAACGAAGAAGUAAACAAAAUACAAAGGAGACAGAAGUGACAUCAACUGUUUCAAUAAAAACGUGCACAAAAAGGGGAGCCAAGAAACGAACAUGGGACAAAAAACAUUAUUGUUUUUACUGCAACAAAGCAAUUCUAAAGAUGGCACGGCACCUGCAGAGGAAACACAUGGACAAAAAGGAUGUCGCCUAUGCUUUCAGCUUUGAGAUAGGCUCCAAGCAACGAAAGGUUCUUUUGGAAAAACUCCGCAAUAAAGGAGACUACAAGCACAACACACAUGUCUUAGAAAAAGGGAGUGGAGAACUAAUAACUUGGAAACAACCCUCAAAGAAAGCUAGUGCUAAAGAUUAUUUACCAUGCCCACACUGUUAUGGAAUGUUUGUGAAGUGGGAUCUGUGGAGACACCAGUCUGUAUGUCGGAGUAAGAAACAUCUAGAGGGUGGCACAAAAAAAAACAAGAAGUAGAGUCCAAAGUCUCGCUGCCACUCUGCUUCCAAAUGCAGCUCUGUCAGGUGGAUGUGAGGAUAUCAUUAAUAAGAUGCGGCAAGAUGAUGUGUCUUUUCACAUAAGGAGUGAUGUGUUGAUUUGUAGAUAUGGUGAUGCACUUUAUGCAAAACAUGGACGAGUGAAAUCAAGGCACCAGUACAUAGCACAAAGACUUAGGGAGCUUGGUAGAUUUAUGUUGGUAGCCAAACAGAUGGACAAGACUGUGAAGGUUCUUCAGGAUGUGUGUGUCCCAUCAAAAUUUAAAUUUGUUGUAAAUGUUGCGAAGAAGCUGACAGAGUUUAGUCCAGGCAAAAAUGAAUAUGGAAAACCUUCUACAGCAGUAAAAAUAGGAUUCUGUCUUAAAGGAGCAGUGCAAGUCCUCAUAGGACAGGCACUUAUGAAUGAUGACGACCUUGAAGAGAAGAGAGGUAAAAAGUUCUUGGAACUUCUGGAUAAAAACUGGAAAUGUGAUGUGUCUGUGAGUGCACACCAGAGUAUUCAAGAGAAGAGAUGGAAUAAACAGGAUGACAUCCCCCUCACCAGAGAUGUGAUGACUCUGAGAAACCACCUCAGAAUGGUGGAAGACAAAGCACGGGAUGAACUAACGCAACAGCAGAGCUUAAUGGCCUACAGGACAUUAAAUGAGACGGUACUGGCACAGGUCAUUGUCUUUAACAAACGACGUGAAGGGGAAGCAUCACGCUUGACUGUUGAGGCUUACAAGAAGGCGUGUACAAACCCCAUAAAUCAGGACAUUUAUGAAACUCUGUCACCUCUGGAGAAAGAGCUGAGUAAGUUACUAACCCGCAUAGAAGUCAGAGGGAAAAGAAGUAGGAAGGUUCCUAUUUUCUUGACUGAAAGAAUGAAGAAUUCAGUUGAUUUGUUAGUUACAUGGAGAGAGAAAGCAGGCGUCCUUGAAGAGAAUCCUUAUCUGUUCGCAAGACCGGGUGUAAUGACAAGUAUUCGUGGAUGUGACUGUCUGCGAAAAUACGCAGUGGAAAGUAAAGCAGAAAACCCUGAACUCCUGAGAUCAACUAAACUACGAAAACAGGUGGCCACACUCUGUCAACUCCUGGAUCUUAGUGAACAAGAGCUGGAACAAGUGGCAAGGUUUAUGGGUCACGACAUCAGAGUUCAUCGUGACUUUUAUCGACAGACGGACAAAACCUUUCAAAUCGCAAAAAUAAGCAAACUUCUGUUUGCAAUGGAGGAAGGCACGAGGUCUUUGGCAGGGAAGAACCUCAAAACAAUUGAGCCAUUUGUCUGUGGUGAAAGUUCCACCUCCACCUCUGAUGUCAUCAGAAGGAAGACAGGCAGAGAAGUAGAUGAAGAUGGAGACCCUGAAAUGUCCUCCACAAAGGGAAUGGACCCCCUCUCUGACAGAGAGACAGCAGGUUCAGACACAGAUGAUGAGGGUGCAGAAAUCCUGCUGACACAGAAGAAUAAACCACAAACAAAGAAAAGACUGAAACGACAUGGAGACCCUGAAAUGUCCUCCAGAAAGGGAAUGGACCCCCUCACUGACAGAGAGACAGCAGGUUCAGACACAGAUGGUGAAGUUUCCACCUCCAUCUCUGAUGUUGUCAGAAAGAAGACAGGCAGAGAUGACGAUGGAGACCCUGAAAUGUCCUCCACAAAGGGAACGGACCCCCUCUCUGACACAGAGACAGCAGGUUCAGACACAGACAAUGUGAGCCAAGGAGUACCGCUGACACAGAGCAAAAAAACACCUCCAAAAAAACAACAAACACCCCCAUCUAAGUCUUCUGUGAAGCGGCCCUGGACUGAGAAAGAGAAGAGUGCUGUGAAUAAACACCUGGGCAGCGUGCAGGUUCUCACUCGUUCCUGGGCUGCGCUGUGGUGGUUCUCUCCGUGGUCCAGGUAACCGUGGCGCUCCUCAGACCGGCUCCAGAAUCCACCUGGAGAGUCUACUUUAAGUGGGUCCACUUCGGAGCAGGAACCAGCACACAGAUACUGGCAGCGGUGUGUGUUUUCCUGGGCGCUGCUCUGCAGGGGGCGCUCUUGCCCCGCCCCUGGGCUCCUGCUGCUCUCAUUGGCUGGAUGCUGUGGAUCGGGCUGACAGACCUGUUCUUAUUGGUCCAUUCCUACAAACUGAGGAGACCAGGAAACAACACGACUGUGAGGAAGAUUCACACCUGCCAGUGAUGAGGAUGAGGAGACUGGAGAAAAAAAGACGACUGGAGAAAAAAAGACGACCGGAGAAAAAAAGACGACUGGAGACACAAAACAUUUAAAACAGCCUUUCUUUGAUGAAGGUCUGUCAGUGAAUUCAACAAACAAACAUGAACCGGCAGAAGUCCAGACACGUCCAGUCUUCUGCUUCCUCCCAAACACACUGAGUUUUCCAGAGUCCAGACGGUGGCGCUGUUGGUGUUUGUGACGGCGAACACCGGCUUUUUAUCGGCUUUUAUUCACCUCAUUUUAACUCUAUAGUUGUGUUGUUUACGUAGACGUUUGAACUUUAAAUUCAUCUGUUUCUUCUUCUUCAGCCGUUUCCAUUUUUUAUUUAUUUUUUUUUUACCUUUUUAAUGCGACCGUCAAACAAAGUGAAUAAAUAAUGAAGUCUGUAAACGUUCGCUCCAGUUCGACUGUUUAUAAAAGAUCGUAAAUGUGUCUUUGGAAUAUGAUCCGAUGUUUUAUUUCCUCAUAGUUCGGACGACGCGUCGACUUCAGCUCUGCGUCAUUGACUAAACGCCGCUGACGUUUCCAUGACGACAGUCAUGAGUUGAUAAAAUGAUUUCAUUUCAUAAAGUCAAAUAAGUGAAUGAGUUCAGUUUGAAUAGUUCUCUGUUCAUUAAACCUUUGAAAAUCAGUGACAUGAACCUUUUAUUUUUUUAUGUCAAUAAUGCAGUUUAAGUUCUUAUUUUGAUCUAAAACGACUCACAAAGAUGUAAAACACGAUAAAAACAUGAGCCUCCAAAAAAAAAAAAAUCCAAGUAAAGAAUGUGAUUAACUUCAUCCAAUCACUUUAAGAACUUUUAA